AACUGAAUUUAAAGGGAAACUCCGUCACUUUUCAACCUUUUCAAUUGUCUUGAACAUUUAAGUUGAGUAGAGUUCAGUAGCGUUAAUGUUAUGUACGCAUUAGAUAUAAUUUCAUUUCCAAAGCUAUUGUUAAAUAAUCUUUGCUAGCCAAGCAAUGUGUUGCUUGCUACAGUGGUUCUUCCUUUAAAUGUUUUGAGUUUAUGCCGCAACCGUUUGGCAACAAUGGCUGACACUUAAAUAAUGUGCAAUUUAAUUCUCUGGCACCCCGCAAGCUGUGCUAUUGUACGUAACCAAACGGUUGGGGCAUAAACUCAAAACUUUUAAAGGAAGAACCACUGUAGCUAGCUAACCUAGCUAGCUUUAGUGAGGGUUGGGUGUCUCUGAUAGAACUGGCUAGCUAGCUGGAUUAUUUCUAGCAAAAUAUAAUCAAAAUGUUCCCUCCUGCAGUAGAUUGUUCUGGUCUGGCACCUCAGCUGCCUAUGGACAGACCCAGUCAACGGUAACUGUCAACUUGCGAGUCGGAAAAUGAAUACUGGAGGUGAAGGAAUCUGCAUUGUUAGUAUACAUGUGCUGCCAUCCUGUUAGAAGAUAACAGAUUAUUUUAUUACAAUGGUUAAAUUGGAUUUUCAUUGUGUUCAAUGGUGUUAUUUGCCCCCUAGUGGCGCUUUCUGGUACUUAGAAAGUCAACGCAAACAGGAAGUACAGAAUUUGUUUUGCACGCAUAGAAGCAGCUACAAACAACGCUACGGUGCAGGUCUUUCAAUGUAGUUAUUUCUUGUCACGCUUCAGCCUUGGAAAAAUAUUUGUUUGUAAGUUCGAUUCAAGCAUUUAGCUAAUGAUGAUAAUCUUGUUAUUGAUAGAGUUUCUUACAUAUCAAUGUUGGUUGCAUUUACUCACAAAUUGCAAUGCCUUUUGUGUAUGUCGUUAGCUGUAUUACUUUGCUCAUGCGUCAUGCAAACGAAUUGUAAAAUAUACAAUACUGUAGUUUUGUUACUGUU